GAUGAACGCUGGCGGCGGGCCUAAUACAUGCAAGUCGAGCGAACAGACGAGGAGCUUGCUCCUCUGACGUUAGCGGCGGACGGGUGAGUAACACGUGGAUAACCUACCUAUAAGACUGGGAUAACUACGGGAAACCGGAGCUAAUACCGGAUAAUAUAUUGAACCGCAUGGUUCAAUAGUGAAAGACGGUUUUGCUGUCACUUAUAGAUGGAUCCGCGCCGCAUUAGCUAGUUGGUAAGGUAACGGCUUACCAAGGCAACGAUGCGUAGCCGACCUGAGAGGGUGAUCGGCCACACUGGAACUGAGACACGGUCCAGACUCCUACGGGAGGCAGCAGUAGGGAAUCUUCCGCAAUGGGCGAAAGCCUGACGGAGCAACGCCGCGUGAGUGAUGAAGGUCUUCGGAUCGUAAAGCUCUGUUAUUGGGGAAGAACAAAUGUGUAAGUAACUAUGCACGUCUUGACGGUACCUAAUCAGAAAGCCCCGGCUAACUACGUG
rnacentral:rRNA from 1 species